AUUGAACGCUGGCGGCAUGCUUUACACAUGCAAGUCGAACGGUAACAGGUUAAGCUGACGAGUGGCGAACGGGUGAGUAAUGCAUCGGAACGUGCCCGGUCGUGGGGGAUAACGCAGCGAAAGCUGCGCUAAUACCGCAUACGAUCUGAGGAUGAAAGCGGGGGACCGUAAGGCCUCGCGCGAUCGGAGCGGCCGAUGCCAGAUUAGGUAGUUGGUGGGGUAAAGGCCUACCAAGCCGACGAUCUGUAGCUGGUCUGAGAGGACGACCAGCCACACUGGGACUGAGACACGGCCCAGACUCCUACGGGAGGCAGCAGUGGGGAAUUUUGGACAAUGGGCGCAAGCCUGAUCCAGCAAUGCCGCGUGCAGGAAGAAGGCCUUCGGGUUGUAAACUGCUUUUGUACGGAGCGAAAAGGCUCUCUCUAAUACAGGGGGUUCAUGACGGUACCGUAAGAAUAAGCACCGGCUAACUACGUGCCAGCCGCCGCUGUAA
rnacentral:rRNA from 1 species